AUUGAACGCUGGCGGCAUGCCUUACACAUGCAAGUCGAACGGCAGCACGGGUGCUUGCCCCUGGUGGCGAGUGGCGAACGGGUGAGUAAUACAUCGGAACAUGUCCUGUAGUAGGGGAUAGCCCGGCGAAAGCCGGAUUAAUACCGCAUACGAUCUACGGAUGAAAGCGGGGGACCUUCGGGCCUCGCGCUAUAGGGUUGGCCGAUGGCUGAUUAGCUAGUUGGUGGGGUAAAGGCCUACCAAGGCGACGAUCAGUAGCUGGUCUGAGAGGACGACCAGCCACACUGGGACUGAGACACGGCCCAGACUCCUACGGGAGGCAGCAGUGGGGAAUUUUGGACAAUGGGCGAAAGCCUGAUCCAGCAAUGCCGCGUGUGUGAAGAAGGCCUUCGGGUUGUAAAGCACUUUUGUCCGGAAAGAAAUCCUUGGCCCUAAUACGGUCGGGGGAUGACGGUACCGGAAGAAUAAGCACCGGCUAACUACGUG
rnacentral:rRNA from 1 species